rnacentral:lncRNA from 10 species
UGCCGGACACCAGGAGACGAUGGAAGGUCUAUAGUGUUACAGCUCUGACCCAGGAAGUCCCAGGGUCUUGCCUUCCAGAAGGGUCGCGGCUCUUCCCUCCCUCAGUCCAACGAACAGGAGCACGUCACCUCCCGCAGCUCGGGGAGCUGGCCAGGAACGUGUUACAGCCCGUUUCGCUCCUGUCCGCAGCUGGGUGAGGCAGCCAGGAAAAUAUUACAGCUCUUCUCACGCCCGCCAUUCAGCAGGUCCUGACUUCUUGUGUGACAUCCAGAAGAAAGGGGUUACACAGACAGCUGGAGGGUGAGCAAAGUGGAGAAGUUCUCAGCAGAGAGGAGACUGGAGUGAGUUGCCCCUACCCGCAGGUGCCAACUGUAAUACAUCAGUAGCUGAACAGCUCAUUGCCCUCAAGUGUUCUUGCUCAUGCCUGGCUGAGUUAUUGAAGAAAUUGCUCAGAUCUCAAGCCCUUGUAGAUCACUGGUCCUGGCAGAUGUUAUGGGGAACUCGCUAUGUUGCCCAGGCUGGUCUUGAACUCAUGGUCUCAGGCAGUCCUCCUGCCUCAGCUUCCCAAAGUGCUGGAAUUACAGGUAUAAGCCACAGUGGCUGGCAGGAAUUUUCUAAUUUGUAAUCUGUGUUUGGUUACAUUGGCAUUAGCCUUAUCAAAAAUUAUUCUGCUGGACAUUCAUGUUUUGUGCACUUUUCUCUAUGUUUCUUAUGUUUCAUAACAAAACCAUUAAAAUAAGCAAACAAACAAAA